AGGAUAUCCAACGACCAGCCUGCCAAGAGGCCAACGCCCGCCACACGCUCCCACCCUGACCUCGGCGCCGCCCGGCCGACCCGAAUGGCGACUCUCUCCGCCCCCUUGCUCCGUUCCCACCACCGUCACCUCCCCGUCCGCUCCUCGCCGCGCCGCUGCCCUUCCGCCGCCUUCCCGCGCGGGUUCGCUCCCCUCGAACCCCUCUCCUCCCGCGGGCCCUCACGCACCGCCGUCCGCUCCGCCUCGACCUCGGCAGCGGCACCGGAGGCCGCCGAGGCAACGGGAGGCGCGGCCCCGAGCGAAACGGCAGCGGAGGAGGAGGUGGUGGAGGCGCGCGUCGUGCUCCCCACCAACGAGUCCUCCGAGAACCUGCUGCGCAUCCGCCACACCUGUGCCCAUGUCAUGGCGAUGGCCGUCCAGAAGCUGUUCCCCAACUCCAAAGUGACCAUAGGCCCCUGGAUAGACAAUGGCUUCUACUACGACUUCGACAUGGAGCCCCUCACGGAUAAGGACCUCAAGAAGAUCAAGAAGGAGAUGGACCGAAUCAUUCGCCGGAACCUUCCAUUGGUGAGGGAGGAGGUGUCCAGGGAAGAGGCUCAAAAGAGGAUCCAAGCGCUUAACGAGCCAUAUAAGCUGGAGAUUUUGGAGAGAAUUAAGGAAGAACCCAUCACAAUUUAUCACAUUGGAGAAGAGUGGUGGGAUCUGUGUGCUGGCCCUCAUGUUGAGUCCACUGGCAAGAUACAGAGAAAGGCUGUUGAGCUCGAGUCUGUUGCUGGUGCUUACUGGAGAGGUGAUGAGAAUAAUCAAAUGCUACAAAGGAUAUAUGGGACUGCAUGGGAGAGUGAAGAUCAAUUGAAGGCUUACAUCCACUUCAAGGAGGAGGCCAAGCGCAGAGACCAUCGGCGACUAGGUCAGGACCUUGAUCUGUUCUCUAUACAGGAAGAUGCUGGUGGGGGUUUAGUAUUCUGGCAUCCAAAAGGUGCUAUCAUCAGACACAUUUUAGAAGAUUCGUGGAAACAAACUCACCUGCAACGUGGUUAUGAUCUAUUGUACACUCCACAUGUUGCGAAGGCUGAUCUCUGGAAGAUCAGUGGACAUAUAGAUUUCUACAAAGAGAAUAUGUACAACCAAAUGGAUGUAGAAGAUGAGCCAUAUCAACUUCGGCCCAUGAAUUGCCCUUACCACAUCUUGGUAUACAAGAGAAAGCUACAAUCAUACAGGGAUUUACCCAUCAGAGUGGCAGAGCUUGGAACUGUCUACAGAUACGAGCUCUCUGGUGCUCUGCACGGGCUGUUCCGCGUAAGAGGGUUCACACAGGAUGAUGCCCACAUAUUUUGUCUCGAAGACCAGAUAAAAGAUGAAAUUAGAGGAGUUCUUGAUUUAACUGAAGAAAUACUGGGGCAGUUUGGCUUCCGGAAUUUUGAGGUAAACCUUUCAACCAGGCCAGAAAAAUCUGUUGGCAGUGAGGACAUAUGGGAAAAGGCAACAAUUGCUCUGAAAGACGCACUAGAUGAUAAAGGAUGGGGAUACACGGUUGAUGAAGGGGGAGGUGCUUUCUAUGGUCCAAAAAUUGAUUUGAAAAUUGAGGACGCUCUUGGAAGAAAAUGGCAAUGUUCCACCGUGCAGGUUGACUUCAAUUUGCCUGAACGGUUUGACAUCACUUAUAUUGACUCGCAUACUGAGAAGAAACGGCCUAUCAUGAUUCAUAGAGCCAUCCUUGGGUCUUUGGAGCGAUUUUUUGGCAUCCUCAUUGAAAACUACGCUGGUGAUUUUCCACUUUGGCUUGCUCCAACCCAAGCCCGUAUUCUGCCUGUCACAAACAAUGAGUUGCAGUACUGUAAUGAGGUGGCUUCAGAGCUGAAAUCGAGAGGUAUCCGCGCCGAGGUAUGCCACGGCGAACGUCUGCCGAAGUUAAUCAGAAACGCCGAAACACAAAAGGUGCCGCUCAUGGCGGUCGUUGGCCCCAAAGAAGUCGAGGCCAGGACGCUCACCAUCAGACGGGCGGGGGGCCCCGACCCGAUUGAUUGGGGCGUCACUCGCUGCGGGUGGGAGGGCGUUGUGCGGAUCUAUGAUUGGAGCGUGAUGGACGGACCGAAUUUUACCGGGCAAGUCCGACAACACCUGGGACAAAAACCUGCAGGCUGGAGGACACUGGGAUAGAGCCGUCAUCUUCCUGGGUGGAAAAGAUGGAGAAACGUGAAUUACCUCUAGAGAUAAGAGGUAAAGCCUUUUCAGCUAUUUGUAAUUCGCGAUUUAAUCAUGAGGCGCUGCACUUCUAAUGUCAGGAUUGCUAAAGGGAAAAUUAAUUGCGGCGUGGAGGAGGAGGAGGACGAGGACGGCGAGAAGGUCCCCGAGCACAUCGACCUCGGCCCUAUCCUCAGCAUCAAGGACCAGCUCGAGAAGGACAAGGACGACGAGAGCCUGAGGAGGUGGAAGGAGCAGCUGCUCGGCAGCGUGGAUUUGAACUCCGUGGGAGAGACGCUGGAGCCGGACGUGAAGAUCAUGAGCCUGUCCAUCCAGUCCCCGGGGCGGCCGGACAUCUUCCUGCCGCUGCCGGUGGAGCCCACCAGCGGCAAGGGGGUGUGGUUCACCCUCAAGGAGGGCUCCCCGUACAAGCUCAAGUUCACCUUCUCCGUCAGCAACAACAUCGUCUCCGGCCUCCGCUACACCAACACCGUCUGGAAGACCGGCAUCAAAGUUGACAGCACAAAGGAGAUGCUGGGCACGUUCAGCCCGCAGCCGGAGCCGUACGCGUACGUGACGCCGGAGGAGACCACGCCGUCCGGGAUGUUUGCCCGGGGAUCCUACUCUGCCAAGACCAAGUUCCUGGACGACGACCGGAAGUGCUACCUGCAGAUCAACUACACCUUCGACAUACGCCGGGAGUGGCCGUCGUCAAGCUGAGCCUUCGUCCAGUCCGGUCCGCCGCCGUGUACAAGUGAGACGUGCCUGCCUGCCUGCCUUGGUUACUACUGCUGCCGUUGAAGCAGACUGGUCUUUGUUUCGUUUGCGUUUUACUACUACCUGUUUUUUCGUGGUUGCCCUUAGGGCUAUUGUCUCCUGUGCGUCUGUGUAAAUUUGGUUCGGUUGAUUGUACGUCGUAGAGGCCAUUCGUCUGUCCGCGUGUGUGUUUGAGCUUUGCCAGGGUCUGUUUUGAAGAACGAACUGUCAUGUUGAGUUCAUGUAUAAUGCACCAGAGCAACGCGGCUGCGCGCACUUCGUGUAAUGCUCAAGAAAGAAAGAAUAUCUGCCACUCA